CAGUUGCUGCUCGGACUGCGGGUGGCCAUCGCAGCCGUCCGUGGAUGAGGAUGGCCUUUCGCUCCACACCCGCUAAGCACUCAGAAGGCAUAUUCGAUUUCUGAGGCUUUACGGUAGUUACCUUCUGGCCAGCAGUUCAUUCUGUAUUGCUUAACUGUACCGGCUUUGGGAGCAAGAAUGGUUAGGAUUACUGGUUAAACGGAAAGGGAAAAAGAGCCCUUUGUCUUCUUGGCAGGAAGAAGCAGCCCCGUGGCCGGCUGUAAAGGAGAAACCCCUCAGCGAGCCCUGUCGCUGGGCAUGGUCGUGAAAGGAAGGUUUCGGUAAAAGAAUGGAGCAAAUACACGGGGAGAGCUAUCUAGGUUUGCUGAAGAGCAGAGUGGUUGUGAACAUGCAGAGAACUGUAACAUGGAAAUCCAGCUGCUGCCUCCAGAGAUGUGGAGACCUGCAGUGUCCAGAAGAAGGUGCCCAUCCCUCCUGUCAUGGCUGUGCUGGAAUCCAUUCCCUUUCACCAGGAGCACAGAAAAAGUGGAAGACAGAACAGCAACAACAAAAACUUUCCAUAGGCAAGAUUCCUAAAUGCUAAAUAUGAGAACAUCAGAAGACCUUAGAAGCAAAGUAACUAAGAAAGUAGGAUUAAUGUUGAAAGGUGUCACUCUUUUUUGGAUCAGGAGAAGCGUGGAUUGAGAGUCAGCAGUGCAUUUUUCCAGGUUAGUGGUGAUUAAUUUGCACACACUAAUAGGGGUUUCAUGUCCACGUUACAACAUAGUUAAUUAAAUUUGUAUCUGGCUGAUUAGGCAACACAUGCUAUCUUUACCACAAGCAAAAAGGCCCCACACACGGGAUAGUGGAGUGCACAUGUAUUUGACUACAACCCAUUUAUAAUGUGUCCCAACCUUGUAGAAUAAUUUUAAGCAGUAAGUUUGUCAAAAUUCUCUUUAGUUGAGCAUAGCUGGUUACAGAGUGAAGUGAAGUUUAUUUGUGAUGUUGCUGCCUUCUUCUGUAUGUUAUUUCUGAUACUCAAAUACCUGCCUACCUUUGACAGGAAAAUGAGUAUCACAGGAUGCUAUUCAAGUAAAAGCAAAAUAAGGAAAUAGUUUACAGAACUUGCAUCAAGAGUGCUGCAGUCUAAACAUUUACACUUACAACCCUCUGUGUUGGCUUCAUACAACUUUUAUUUUACUCUACAGGGGCAAAUGCAGUGGAACAGCAUCUAUUUUUGCUGAAGGCUUAAGCUGCGGAAUCAGCGAUGGCAGGUUCUCGGCAAGGCAGAGCACUGAUUCAGCGACCCUUUGAUAAGGCUCAGCUUUGGAAAGCACUGAGCCACCCUGGCAGUGAAUCAUGCAAAAGGCCACUCACAUCUGAAUCAUGCAAAAGACCACUCACAUCUUGAUAAUCGGCGUUUUGAAUAUCCAGCCUAGCCAUAUCCAACGAGCGAUCCACAAUAAGAUCAAAAUUCACUUGCAAGACACAACAUCUGGCACUGCUAAGAUCGCUAGUCAGCUCCACGUGAUCUCUCACCUCCAGGACACACACUUGAGCAUCACUGACUUGCUGUAGGCAUCUUUAGGAAUCUGUAUUGCGUGAAUCGCAGGUUUGUAACAACAAGGACAGCAAGUUUCCUAAUUUGUAACAGAUGGUAUCUAGAUAAAAACUCCAUCCUGACAAUUCCUUCAUCUCCCAAACCCAGUAACUUCAUAAACUUCAAGUAUGCAUAAUGACUGUUCAAAGUAGGAAUUGAGAUAGGGUGACAGCAUAUAGGGCCUAAAACAAAAAAACCCUCUUCUUCAAGAAACUGUCUCCACAGAGGCACCGGGGCAAUAAACAAGUCACGUAUUUUAUGAAAACUACAGAGUUCUGAGAAAUCAUUUAUUGGUUAUGCUGAUCACUAAUCUGCAACUGGAACUAUAAAAAUAAACUCUAUAAUGAUUUGCUCUGUGUUUCAACUUAUGUUUGGCAUAUUUCGGUACGUAUUUCUAUUCAGUUCAGAUUAUCUAAAUGCUAUUUCCAUUUUCUUUACAGAUCUUGCUCACAAUUCUCGUCCAGCACGGACUUGCUGGACAAAUUUAGUUGUUGAUUGAUGAGCAAUAGCAGGUACGCCCUAUUACUACCACUAAUUCUUACUUAUAACAGAUCAGUUUGUUGAAUUUUUAAAUAUCUUAUAGGGUUACAAAUUACAUAAAAGGAAUUGGUUUGUAUCCAAUAAAAAUACCAAAAUAAUCCAACAUAAUGUGUGAAAAAGAGGAAUUUACACCUGUACCUUACAUGGAGAUCAAGUAGUUUUUAUUUACUAUGAAAGAAACACAGAAGGAAAUUAGGAGACAGAAAUAUUUACAAUUUAGACAAAUAUUUACCAUUUGAAAAUACUGAAAUAGAACAAGGGAAACAAAUUUUUUUCCCAUUUUUUGUUGCAGACAAGGUAGUCUUGAAACACAGAUAGCCAUUUUAAUGCAGGACCAGGUAAAACUAACACUGUUCAUAAAGAAAAAGAAAAAUGUGUUAGAAUGCAAAUUUAAUAGAUUUUCCUUUUACGUCAGUGAUCUAAAAAAAAAAAAAAAGACAACCAAAGUACAUUUCUAGAAUCAUCCUCCAUUUUUUUUCCACCACAGAUCUGAGAACAAGGAAAAAUAACACUGAAAAAAAGCCUUAUGAAUUUUUUCACUCACACAGGAAAGCUGAUACAGGUAAUUUCCAGUGAGGUAUGUCCAGAGGUGGGAGGGCUCAGUUUAGUCUUCUACUGAUAUAAUAGUUUUCUCACAGAUUUGCUAGAUACCUCAGAAGAAAUACUUUUGUGUUUUAUUUGGUUGAUCUCUGGCAUUUAGUUGGAUGAUGGACAGAUAGGGUUUUUUUAAGUAUACUCAGGCUAAAUUUGAUAUGUUCAAAUAGGACUAAUCUUUCAUUAUUUAAAGUCACACCUGGACAAAUGGAAGCUUCAUAGCCUGAAAACAAUAACUCUAUACAGAAAUAGGAAUGCUAUUAGUCUUGUUCGACAAAGGUCUGUACCAUUACGCAUAAUAUUUAUAUUAUUUCCCAUUAAGAGUUCAAAGAAAGCUGUCUUUUCCAGAUUAUUGAACAUUUUAAUGUGCUUAAAAUUGGUCAGAAAAUAAUAUUUCUUGAAACCUGCUGAAAACUUUAUAAUUUUCUGUAAAAGGGUAACCUAAGUUUUUCCUUACAUCUACUCCCAGGUGCUAACAGUAGUGGAUAGGCGUUCGAGGAAACGUAAAACAUUUCUUUGCACUCAAGCCCACCAGAAGUGAGGAACCAGGCUAAGGCUGGAGCAGGCAGACAAACACAUCAAUUUAGAAGAGCCCCUCAGCAAGGAGACUGUCCACAGAUGUUCGGGAUUCAAAAGCUGCUCCUGCAACACAGAAUGGAGGGAAGAAGAGAGAACAGCGAUAUCCUUUGCACUGAAUCCUCCUCCAGCUGCAGCAGAUGUAACAGCCAUGGGUGGUAUCGCUUGUGCUCCUACUGUCUGAGCGCUGGUAAAUCUGAACUUUGACAGUCUUAUUUUUACAUUUAUCUUUAAACUGCUACAUGGUUAUAUAUAUUUUUUUGAUUGGGAGAUAUAAAAUUAAGUCUCCUUGGGCUGUCAGAUUUUUUGCACCCCAGAGGAAUUCAGUACAAAAAAUGAAAAUUACACUGUCUGAUAGCCUUCCCAUCUACGGCAGGUAGCUCAGCGAUACAAGUCACCCAGCAAUAAGUUCAGGAGAAAAAUGGAGGAUAGAACAUUCUUGUUUAUUCAGAUGAAAUAUUUAUUCUCUGUGCAACUCAUACCAAGUAUUAAAAUCCCCUCAAAAAAGAAAAAUAAAACAAUUUAAUGGUAGGAUUUCUUAGCAUUCAUGGAGAACUGGUAUG
rnacentral:lncRNA from 1 species